rnacentral:rRNA from 1 species
GACGAACGCUGGCGGCGUGCUUAACACAUGCAAGUCGAGCGGAAAGGCCCUUCGGGGUACUCGAGCGGCGAACGGGUGAGUAACACGUGGGUAACCUGCCCCUUGCUCUGGGAUAACUCCGGGAACCGGGGCUAAUACCGGAUACGACCACUUUAGGCAUCUUCGGUGGUGGAAAGUUUUUCGGCGAGGGAUGGACCCGCGGCCUAUCAGCUUGUUGGUGGGGUAAUGGCCUACCAAGGCAGUGACGGGUAGCCGGCCNGAGAGGGCGACCGGCCACACUGGGACUGAGACACGGCCCAGACUCCUACGGGAGGCAGCAGUGGGGAAUAUUGCGCAAUGGGCGAAAGCCUGACGCAGCGACGCCGCGUGAGGGAUGACGGCC